rnacentral:lncRNA from 10 species
GUCACUUGCCACUGAGUCUGUCAGCAUUCUUGAGAGGAUAUUAUUGCAAGGCUCAGAGGACCUUGAGGCUGAUCAAGGCAGCCAUGGCAAGAAGAUUUUGCUGCUGGUUGAUUUCUGCCCAGUAUAGGCAGAUGUGAGAGAAGCAGCUCAGCCAGAGAUGAGAAAUCAGGAGGGUCAGAGAUAAGAAAGGCUUGGAGAUGACCACAGAAAGCAGAAAGACUUGCUGCCAAACCCCGACUUCUCACCAAUUGUACUGAUGAAGCAAUGAAAAUCACCAUCUCUUCCACCUAUAGAAUGCAUAGUAUAUUUAUGGACACAUAGUGUAUGACGUGUAUAGAAAAAUAUCAUUCAGUCCUUGAAAUCAACAUGCAAGGUGAGUAUCUUUUAUUCCAUUUCAGGGAAACAGAUCUCAGAGAAGUUAAGUAGAGGCUCAGUACAAAGCCAAGAAGAAUCCAACUGGCUGCCUGACUGCAAAGCCCAGGAUGUCCCUCCCCAGGGAACAGUCAGCACCAUUCUGACUUCCCCGCUGGAGCCGCACCGCCUGCUGGGUAAUCAGCUCUGCGCUCUGCAAGGGGAGACCUCGGCGGGGUGAACCCGGUGCCCCUUGCCAGAGCCAAGGAAAAGGAGAACAUCAAGCUUUGCGGGGGUAGAAAUGUUUUAAGUGAUCACCUACAUUCAGUUUGAAGGAUAAUUUGCAGAUGCCUAUAUUGGCUCAAUUAUGAGCAGCACUUACUACUUUUUAAGUACUAGAAAGCUUUAACUUAAGUUAAUCUUCAUCAUACCUAUCAAAUAUUUCUCCCCAAUUACUUCCAUUGAGUCAGGAACAAAAUUCAUUUUGUAAUGAUUAUCUGACUCAGGUAGAGCUGAUUUUCUAUAACUCUAGGCUAAAGCCACUGACAAGGGCACAAAAAGGAUUAUUUUUCAGCAGUUUUCAGCCCAGCUAAAUCAGCAGAUAAUGGCAUCUAUGAUGCAGAGUGAUUCUGACCUAAAACCCCUCUCAUCGUUAAUGUGUCUCACAUCUCAAAUACGCCACAGAGGCAAAAAUAUUCUAUAGACAUCUCUACUGUCCCUAGAGAGCAAAAGGACAGGUUUAGGAAUUCUUGAUUUUUACGUUUUCUGUCAAUUAUGCAACAGCAAUUGCUCAAUAAAAAAAACCCAGAACUCUGUUUCUUUCUUCAUAGUAUUUUCAUCUGAAAGAGCACCAGAUGAAUACGGAGACAGUGGAUUUAUUUGCAUGACUUUGUUGUGUCAGGUCCUAGUGGUCUAUAGGGGCCCAAAUAAAUAAAGACACCAAACAAAAUUUCUGAAUGCUGUAGCAUGGGAAAUAGAGACUGUCAUUGACAUAUAUUAGAGAUUAUUCAGAGAUAAGCGGAUGCCUGUUUCAAUGUGAAACAAGAGAGUAGAUUAGGC